UCGAACUACGUGCUUAUACUCACCUUAGUUGGCCCAGCUAAUGGAUUUAUGGCGGCCAGCACAACUACCUCUUUCCGUGUGUUUGCAAGUAUUGAAGGACUCCUGACUGGUUUAAACCUGGCAUUAGUAAUAGCCUCAGCAGUAACUUAUCGCCGAUCCCAAACCAACUUGGUACAACCACAACUUGCACUUAUUCGUGUCGAAUAUGGGAAAACAGUUAGGAAAGAAAGUGACCGCGGUAAAAUGCCAACAACUGUUGAAAUCGAAAACAUUUACAGCUCAAACAAAACAGAUUUACGAGAUGAAUUGUCAUGGGUACUACACCAAUUGUGGAUACAACAUGCCCACUUAAUCGGAAAAGGCAAAGAUGCUAAAGGGCUUGCACAUCGUUACAUUGAUAUUCAAAGUAUAAGACCUGUUAAAAAUCACUAUGCUUUAUGGAGAUACAGUUGUCGAAGGCAGAGAAUAUUUGAUUUUGCUGCAUCGGUUGGUGGUCAUUUGAAAAACCUUCAAAACUACAAAAACGAAUGUGGGUGGGUUUGUAAAACACAUGUUGUUGACACUGACACUGUUUUGCGAGAAAAUUCUACUUUGGUAAAAGAAAAAUUGUCGAACAAUGUUGAUAAAAGUAUAAAUGAAUAUUAUCUGUUCCAUGGGACACGUUCUUUAAACGCAGAUUCUAUUGCAAAGAAUGGAUUUAACGUCAAAAAAUGCAGAUCUGCAAUGCUUGGAAGAGGGAUUUAUUUCACAGAUAGCCUCGUAAAAGCCGAUCAGUACACACAUCCAGAUGAUAGCGGUAUGUGUUGCUUGAUAAUGGCAAGAGUUCUUCUCGGUGACUUUGUAGUUGCCCCGAACCAUUCCGACAUUCCGUCGACAAGCAUUCAGCCGCCAUGCAAGGAAUGCAUGACCACCGUGUGUAAGAAGAAGAUGUCAGACAAUC